rnacentral:rRNA from 1 species
GACGAACGCUGGCGGCGGGCUUAACACAUGCAAGUCGAACGGAAAGGCCCUGCUUUUGUGGGGUGCUCGAGUGGCGAACGGGUGAGUAACACGUGAGUAACCUGCCCUUGACUUUGGGAUAACUUCAGGAAACUGGGGCUAAUACCGGAUAGGAGCUCCUGCUGCAUGGUGGGGGUUGGAAAGUUUCGGCGGUUGGGGAUGGACUCGCGGCUUAUCAGCUUGUUGGUGGGGUAGUGGCUUACCAAGGCUUUGACGGGUAGCCGGCCUGAGAGGGUGACCGGCCACAUUGGGACUGAGAUACGGCCCAGACUCCUACGGGAGGCAGCAGUGGGGAAUAUUGCACAAUGGGCGGAAGCCUGAUGCAGCAACGCCGCGUGCGGGAUGACGGCCUUCGGGUUGUAAACCGCUUUCGCCUGUGACGAAGCGUGAGUGACGGUAAUGGGUAAAGAAGCACCGGCUAACUACGUGCCAGCAGCCGCGGUGAUACGUAGGGUGCGAGCGUUGUCCGGAUUUAUUGGGCGUAAAGGGCUCGUAGGUGGUUGAUCGCGUCGGAAGUGUAAUCUUGGGGCUUAACCCUGAGCGUGCUUUCGAUACGGGUUGACUUGAGGAAGGUAGGGGAGAAUGGAAUUCCUGGUGGAGCGGUGGAAUGCGCAGAUAUCAGGAGGAACACCAGUGGCGAAGGCGGUUCUCUGGGCCUUUCCUGACGCUGAGGAGCGAAAGCGUGGGGAGCGAACAGGCUUAGAUACCCUGGUAGUCCACGCUGUAAACGGUGGGUACUAGGUGUGGGGUCCAUUCCACGGGUUCCGUGCCGUAGCUAACGCUUUAAGUACCCCGCCUGGGGAGUACGGCCGCAAGGCUAAAACUCAAAGGAAUUGACGGGGCCCCGCACAAGCGGCGGAGCAUGCGGAUUAAUUCGAUGCAACGCGUAGAACCUUACCUGGGUUUGACAUGGAUCGGGAGUGCUCAGAGAUGGGUGUGCCUCUUUUGGGGUCGGUUCACAGGUGGUGCAUGGCUGUCGUCAGCUCGUGUCGUGAGAUGUUGGGUUAAGUCCCGCAACGAGCGCAACCCUUGUUCACUGUUGCCAGCACGUUAUGGUGGGGACUCAGUGGAGACCGCCGGGGUCAACUCGGAGGAAGGUGGGGAUGACGUCAAGUCAUCAUGCCCCUUAUGUCCAGGGCUUCACGCAUGCUACAAUGGCUGGUACAGAGAGUGGCGAGCCUGUGAGGGUGAGCGAAUCUCGGAAAGCCGGUCUCAGUUCGGAUUGGGGUCUGCAACUCGACCUCAUGAAGUCGGAGUCGCUAGUAAUCGCAGAUCAGCAACGCUGCGGUGAAUACGUUCCCGGG